AACCGAUUGACGAGUUUCAAAUAGGACGAAACGCGCGUCAACCUGGGU
rnacentral:hammerhead_ribozyme from 1 species